UUUCCGUAGUUCUACUCUAUAAAUAUCUCCAGCCGCUCUUCUGUGUGGGUUUAUUCCUGCUUCUGCAAUGAAGACCCUGAAUGACGGACUUUCUCUUAGGAAACCACCAUGAUAUUCCACUUUCAGACGUAACUCUGGCCUCGAUGCCACUGUUGUGCCAAAAGUGGGCAGAAAGAAACUGGCUUGUGAUCGACCCUGCUGUCCUGCUCUGUGGACUAGGGGCUUGGAACGAGGCCGAAUAUUCAAACCCAGACCUAUUGAAAUGCAUUCUCCUGGACUGUCCUGCUUUUAAUGAUUGCACAAGACUACAUGAAAUGAACCCGCUUAAGGAGAUAUUCAGCAAAGUGUCGCCAGGAAAAAUGUUUCCAGCAUUUUUCAAAAUAUCUUGUGUUCACUGGAAGAAAAACACAACUAGACUUUGAACAGAAAGACGAAAAGUAAAUGAUGACGCAAUUUGAAGUUUUUGGUGAACUGUCCCUUUAAGCCAGUCCAACCCUGAACAGAUUGCCUGCACUGCAAGCUGGACUAACGCUUGGCAACCCCAUGAAGUAAGUCAGCUGACUGCAGUAUUUACAACUGGUGUGUAUCAUAUACCUGUAUUUCACUCAAUCUUCUUCUUUUUUUUUUUUUGGCCAUGAUGGAGUGGACCAGGGGUCUGUUCUUCGUACCUUGCUUAAAUGAUCUAAGAUGAUUUGACAGAUCCUGGAUGUGUUAAUCUUGAUGACUGGUGUCUGGCUAAUUUGGUUCUUUUGGUACAAGUUGACGAAUCAGAUUAAAAUGUCUGGAUGAACUGAUCUGGGAUCACUGCACGCAUUUUUAAAGACCGAUCAUUUGAUCCUCGAAAUCAUGAUCACUUGAUCAGCAAUGCAAUGACUGGCUGACGGCACAGAAGCGUAUUGACAUCAUCUGAUUGAUAUUCAAUUAUUCAUGUGAGCAAAAUUACAUAAAAUUCAUAGUAAACCAUUAGUUAAAUAUAAUAAACAAUAACUUUCCACCUUU